ACGGCAGAGGUACAGCAGCAGAAGAAACAGACCUUCCGCAACUUCACCCAGCGCGGCGUGGACCUGGACCAGCUACUGGACAUGUCCUCGGAGCAGCGGAUGCAGCUGAACAGCGCGCGCCGGCGGCGGCUGAACCCGGGCCUGUGGCGGAAGCAGCGCUCGCUGCUCAAGCGCCUGCGCAAGGCCAAGAAGGGGGCGCCGCCCACGGAGAAGCCGGAAGUGGUGAAGACGCACCCGCGGGACGUGCUUCUCCUGCCCGCGAUGGUGGGUAGCACGGUGGGCGUCUACGACGGCAAGACCUUCAAGCAGGUGGAGAUG
rnacentral:lncRNA from 1 species